rnacentral:tRNA from 1 species
GGCGGGGUAUCCGAGCCAGGUCUAAAUAGGGCCAGAUCAAAAACCUAUUUGCCCCUAAGAUAUGGAGGAGGACUUAAGAUCCUCUGGCGCAGGCCUUCGUGGGUUCAAGUCCCACCCCCGCCACCA